CUGCCCUUAAGUGGGGGAUAACAUUUGGAAACAGAUGCUAAUACCGCAUAGAUCCAAGAACCGCAUGGUUCUUGGCUGAAAGAUGGCGUAAGCUAUCGCUUUUGGAUGGACCCGCGGCGUAUUAGCUAGUUGGUGAGGUAAUGGCUCACCAAGGCGAUGAUACGUAGCCGAACUGAGAGGUUGAUCGGCCACAUUGGGACUGAGACACGGCCCAAACUCCUACGGGAGGCAGCAGUAGGGAAUCUUCCACAAUGGACGCAAGUCUGAUGGAGCAACGCCGCGUGAGUGAAGAAGGCUUUCGGGUCGUAAAACUCUGUUGUUGGAGAAGAAUGGUCGGCAGAGUAACUGUUGUCGGCGUGACGGUAUCCAACCAGAAAGCCACGGCUAACUACGUGCCAGCAGCCGCGGUAAUACGUAGGUGGCAAGCGUUAUCCGGAUUUAUUGGGCGUAAAGCGAGCGCAGGCGGUUUUUUAAGUCUGAUGUGAAAGCCCUCGGCUUAACCGAGGAAGCGCAUCGGAAACUGGGAAACUUGAGUGCAGAAGAGGACAGUGGAACUCCAUGUGUAGCGGUGAAAUGCGUAGAUAUAUGGAAGAACACCAGUGGCGAAGGCGGCUGUCUGGUCUGUAACUGACGCUGAGGCUCGAAAGCAUGGGUAGCGAACAGGAUUAGAUACCCUGGUAGUCCAUGCCGUAAACGAUGAAUGCUAGGUGUUGGAGGGUUUCCGCCCUUCAGUGCCGCAGCUAACGCAUUAAGCAUUCCGCCUGGGGAGUACGACCGCAAGGUUGAAACUCAAAGGAAUUGACGGGGGCCCGCACAAGCGGUGGAGCAUGUGGUUUAAUUCGAAGCAACGCGAAGAACCUUACCAGGUCUUGACAUCUUUUGAUCACCUGAGAGAUCAGGUUUCCCCUUCGGGGGCAAAAUGACAGGUGGUGCAUGGUUGUCGUCAGCUCGUGUCGUGAGAUGUUGGGUUAAGUCCCGCAACGAGCGCAACCCUUAUGACUAGUUGCCAGCAUUUAGUUGGGCACUCUAGUAAGACUGCCGGUGACAAACCGGAGGAAGGUGGGGAUGACGUCAAAUCAUCAUGCCCCUUAUGACCUGGGCUACACACGUGCUACAAUGGAUGGUACAACGAGUUGCGAGACCGCGAGGUCAAGCUAAUCUCUUAAAGCCAUUCUCAGUUCGGACUGUAGGCUGCAACUCGCCUACACGAAGUCGGAAUCGCUAGUAAUCGCGGAUCAGCACGCCGCGGUGAAU
rnacentral:rRNA from 1 species